rnacentral:rRNA from 1 species
UAGCUACAGGCUUAACACAUGCAAGUCGAGGGGUUGCAUUUUAGUUUGCUUGCAAACUGAAGAUGGCGACCGGCGCACGGGUGAGCAACACGUAUCCAACCUGCCGAUAACUCCGGAAUAGCCUUUCGAAAGAAAGAUUAAUACCGGAUAGCAUACGAAUAUCGCAUGAUAUUUUUAUUAAAGAAUUUCGGUUAUCGAUGGGGAUGCGUUCCAUUAGUUUGUUGGCGGGGUAACGGCCCACCAAGACUACGAUGGAUAGGGGUUCUGAGAGGAAGGUCCCCCACAUUGGAACUGAGACACGGUCCAAACUCCUACGGGAGGCAGCAGUGAGGAAUAUUGGUCAAUGGGCGAGAGCCUGAACCAGCCAAGUAGCGUGAAGGAUGAAGGCUCUAUGGGUCGUAAACUUCUUUUAUAUGGGAAUAAAGUUUUCCACGUGUGGAAUUUUGUAUGUACCAUAUGAAUAAGGAUCGGCUAACUCCGUGCCAGCAGCCGCGGUAAUACGGAGGAUCCGAGCGUUAUCCGGAUUUAUUGGGUUUAAAGGGAGCGUACGUGGAUUGUUAAGUCAGUUGUGAAAGUUUGCGGCUCAACCGUAAAAUUGCAGUUGAAACUGGCAGUCUUGAGUACAGUAGAGGUGGGCGGAAUUCGUGGUGUAGCGGUGAAAUGCUUAGAUAUCACGAAGAACUCCGAUUGCGAGGGCAGCUCACUAGACUGUCACUGACACUGAUGCUCGAAAGUGUGGGUAUCAAACAGGAUUAGAUACCCUGGUAGUCCACACAGUAAACGAUGAAUACUCGCUGUUUGCGAUAUACAGUAAGCGGCCAAGCGAAAGCAUUAAGUAUUCCACCUGGGGAGUACGCCGGCAACGGUGAAACUCAAAGGAAUUGACGGGGGCCCGCACAAGCGGAGGAACAUGUGGUUUAAUUCGAUGAUACGCGAGGAACCUUACCCGGGCUUAAAUUGCAACAGAAUAUAUUGGAAACAGUAUAGCCGUAAGGCUGUUGUGAAGGUGCUGCAUGGUUGUCGUCAGCUCGUGCCGUGAGGUGUCGGCUUAAGUGCCAUAACGAGCGCAACCCUUAUCUUUAGUUACUAACAGGUUAUGCUGAGGACUCUAGAGAGACUGCCGUCGUAAGAUGUGAGGAAGGUGGGGAUGACGUCAAAUCAGCACGGCCCUUACGUCCGGGGCUACACACGUGUUACAAUGGGGGGUACAGAAGGCGGCUACCUGGUGACAGGAUGCUAAUCCCAAAAACCUCUCUCAGUUCGGAUCGAAGUCUGCAACCCGACUUCGUGAAGCUGGAUUCGCUAGUAAUCGCGCAUCAGCCAUGGCGCGGUGAAUACGUUCCCGGGCCUUGUACACACCGCCCGUCAAGCCAUGAAAGCCGGGGGUACCUGAAGUACGUAACCGCAAGGAGCGUCCUAGGGUAAAACUGA